UUUGCAAAAAUAAUAUUUAAACCUGGACUGAAUUCAAAUAAUAUGCAAAUCAUGAUAAUUCUGAGAUAACGAUCCCUGAAAGAUUCCACAAGUCGGUACAAGGCCCCAAACAUGGCAUCAAGCCCAGAUAUCAUCAAUAUAAUAUGCGAAGCAAUCGCCAACAUAGUACAAUUUAUCCCUUGGAUUGAACCGAGUCACAAUUUCCAGUAAUCGCCAACAUAGUACAAUGGAGUGCGUGUCUAGCCUCAUAUAGCGUCAUAAUAUGAUAUACCGGGGUUUCAAACCCUCAGGUCAUCAUCUACACCCAUUACUCACCUCAAGCCGGCCACAAACUAGCUCGCAAUGCCUUUCCCUCGAGAAUCAACCUCCGCGGAUACCAAAUCUAAUCAAAACCAAUAGGAAUACGUCACAAUAGGUUAAUGGAACAUAACCCAAUCGUAAUAACUUGAAAUACACCCUAAAACACGAAGUUGGCAAACCCGAGCCCCGAUCCCACUUCUCGAAAAUUACAAAAUUCACAUUGUCAGAAUCAUCACCUUGCCACGAGUCC
rnacentral:lncRNA from 1 species